rnacentral:rRNA from 1 species
CCUACGGGAGGCAGCAGUGGGGAAUAUUGCACAAUGGGGGAAACCCUGAUGCAGCGACGCCGCGUGAGCGAUGAAGUAUUUCGGUAUGUAAAGCUCUAGCAGCAGGGAAGAAGAUGAGGGUACCUGACUAAGAAGCACCGGCUAACUACGUGCCAGCAGCCGCGGUAAUACGUAGGGGGCACACGUUAUCCGGAUUUACUGGGUGUAAAGGGAGCGUAGAAGGCGGUGCAAGCCAGAUGUGAAAGCCCGGGGCUCAACCCCGGGACUGCAUUUGGAACUGUAUGGCUGGAGUGUCGGAGAGGCAGGCGGAAGUCCUGGUGUAGCGGUGAAAUGCGUAGAUAUUAGGAGGAACACCAGUGGCGAAGGCGGCCUGCUGGACGAUGACUGACGUUGAGGCUCGAAAGCGUGGGGAGCAAACAGGAUUAGAUACCCCAGUAGUC